GGGUUUACCCAUUGGUCAGGCUUAAUUGUCUGUACUGGUGAGAUAAAUCUCUACCUUCUGAGGAACUUUCAUGUCAUUAAUUUGGUGUGAUUGGAAAUCAGGACUGUUACUUUGAAAAAAUUAGAGUGUUUAAAGCAGGCUAACGUCUGAAUACAUUAGCAUGGAAUAAUGAAAUAGGACGGACUGAUUCUAUUUCGUUGGUUUCUAGGAUCACCGUAAUGAUUAAUAGGGAUAGUUGGG
rnacentral:rRNA from 1 species